AAAGAAGGAAAGGGAAAAGAAGGAAGGAAAUAAAAAAUAAAGGGGCAGAAACCUCCCGAAGCAGCCGGAUUCGCAGUCACAAUUGGGGAAAACCCCUUCCAUUCGGGGCGCGGUGCGCGAUGCGCAGCACCAGGUGGCGCUGCCUCCAAGGGAACGGCUCUGCUCCACGGCCCCCCGACGGGGCCCUCCCCGGGGCCGCCCCCCGAGCUGAGCUCCGCAUCGCCCCCGGGUCCCUCCUCACCGUCACACGGGGACCCAGCCGUAUACAAGCAGCAGGGCGGUAGAUGUGCACAUGCAGCUCCAUGGCAGGCCUCAAAGGCUCGGAGGAAACACUUGGAGAUGAGCGGUGGGAAGUGGAGAGGCUACCAAUGCGUCUUGCUGCCCGAAUGCUCUGCUAUGGCACGGCCUGGCCAUGCUUGCAGCAUGACUGGGGACUUCUGGGUCCCCUGAGCCGCUGGUACAUCUUGUGCCAAACGUGGUGAGAAACACCAGGCCCUGAUUCUUGUUGUGUUGCAAAAGUGCAGCACAACAGCGAGCAAAUUGCCACUACUGAAUGGAGCCAUAUCAGCUGGCCACAGCUCGGAUCUGGGCAGGGGGAGGUUGUUACGUGAGCAAAUCCUGUAUUUCUGAGCAAGCCUAUUCCUCUUGUCCUCUUACAGGGCUCCGGCAGCAUUUCUGAACAAGCUUAUUCCUCCUCACCUCCCAGCAGAGCUCUCCUGCUCACACAAACACACGCACAGAGCUUGUACAAAGGGUCUGGUUGGGAUAACAGCUAGAAUUUCCCCAUCCCCUGGGACAACAAGGGAAAAAGCGGGUUUGUCUUGUGCAGAACAAGGGCUGGGAGCAGGAGCCUGCAUGGUUUCACCCUCUCCUCCCUGCUGUAGGUGUCGGAGAUGGAGAGCUGCCUGUUUAGACUGUGCUCACUGGCUUGAGGAAUAUGUGGCGUCCACGAUAUCAAACCCUGCUUGGGUGGAUUGCGAGGUGUCUGCCUGCCCUUCCCAGCCCUGCAGACUGCAAGCUGUGAGUGGAUCGAUAAGGUGCCCGAAUCCAAAGUGAAUCUGAAGGAUGAAAAAGAAUCUCAGAAGCGAUAGUGAGAUUUCAAGGAAGGAAGAACCACUUGGCAGAGACUGAACUCCUAACCCCGAGCCUUUAUCUCGGCCACACCUAGUGCAGAUAUGUGCGUCAGGAAUCAAACCUCGGCCUUCUGCUCACACAUUGAGAUGGUAACAGCGUGGCUCACCUCCAGCAGGGAUGGCCAACACACAACGGAGAGAAGGAUUGGUCCACAAAGGCACAAAAACAGGGGAACCCCAAUAAGCAUUUUAAGUUGGCCGCCGCUUGCUUAAGCAUAACGACCCUUGAAAAAAAAAAACACCCCCAAAUUAAUUAAACUUCCCAGAGAGAGGCCUCCAGUAACUCUCAUCAAGCCCUUCCCACCUGCCUUAAUUAGAAAGCUUGUGUGCAUGCGUGUGCUACCAGCUAACUUUGCUUUUAAUUAAACCCAUUACACAACGCUCGGCUGAUUAGUGCGCCAUAACCUAAUUUGCCUGGAUGAAGAUGGACAUACACAACCCAGUAAUCAGAUUAAUUUGUAUACAUCUACUUUUACACAUGUGCUGUUGGUAGUAUGCAUCGAUACGGGUGCAUUGGCCUAUGGAGAGAUGGCUGAAGCAGAAUGUCUGGGGGUUGGGUGUACCCUCCUACAAAUAAACCAGAACCCUUUGCAAUAAGCUGAGUGUCCAGCACAUGCAUUUGUCCCUGGGUUUAGCUGAACGCCAGCCCCCGGUUACCUGCUUUGAUUUGAGAUGUUUUCUAUUUUGUACGGUGAGGAAAGGCUGCAGAAAGCUGGCCUGGGCUCUAUGGGGUCUGGCUGG
rnacentral:lncRNA from 1 species